rnacentral:lncRNA from 1 species
UCUAUGGGAGUUAUCGGGAAAAUUCCAACGGUUUUGUCUUAGUUUCGUCGUUCUGAAUCCAACGAGACCAUCCGCAAAGUCGUAGCUUUUACGAUAGCCGAGAUAUGGCAUUUUUGAUGCCCAUUUUUGGCCUCAAAAACGGACGUCGAAAACGACUUUUUCAGGAUUUUCAAAGUGCUCUCAUUCCCUUAGUUCUGCUCGGAUCCUGUUAUAACCCGGUGUUUUCGUAAUCUAGGUGACUCAAAUAAGACGCUGGUAUACUUAGUUUGAUUUCGAAAAAAAUCAAUUUUUGGUGAAAAAAUUCGAUACGGGGGGGUAUACCCGAAAAAUGAAAAAUUCCAAACUUUGAAGGUCGAUAUCUCGGCUUCUAUGGGAGUUAUCGGGAAAAUUCCAACGGUUUUGUCUUAGUUUCGUCGUUCUGAAUCCAACGAGACCAUCCGCAAAGUCGUAGCUUUUACGAUAGCCGAGAUAUGGCAUUUUUGAUGCCCAUUUUUGGCCUCAAAAACGGACGUCGAAAACGACUUUUUCAGGAUUUUCAAAGUGCUCUCAUUCCCUUAGUUCUGCUCGGAUCCUGUUAUAACCCGGUGUUUUCGUAAUCUAGGUGACACAAAUAAGACGCUGGUAUACUUAGUUUGAUUUCGAAAAAAAUCAAUUUUUGGUGAAAAAAUUCGAUACGGG